CAACCCUUGACAUCCCGGGACCGGCCCAGAGAUGGGUCUUUCACUUCGGUGACCCGGUGACAGGUGCUGCAUGGCUGUCGUCAGCUCGUGUCGUGAGAUGUUCGGUUAAGUCCGGCAACGAGCGCAACCCACAUCCUUAGUUGCCAGCAGUUCGGCUGGGCACUCUAGGGAAACUGCCCGUGAUAAGCGGGAGGAAGGUGUGGAUGACGUCAAGUCCUCAUGGCCCUUACGGGUUGGGCUACACACGUGCUACAAUGGUGGUGACAGUGGGUUAAUCCCCAAAAGCCAUCUCAGUUCGGAUUGUCGUCUGCAACUCGACGGCAUGAAGUCGGAAUCGCUAGUAAUCGCGUAACAGCAUGACGCGGUGAAUACGUUCCC
rnacentral:rRNA from 1 species